GAUGAACGCUGGCGGCGUGCUUAACACAUGCAAGUCGAACGAUUAAGGCGGCUUCGGCCGCGUAUAGAGUGGCGAACGGGUGAGUAACACGUGACCAACCUGCCCCGCGCUCCGGGACAACCGCUGGAAACGGCGGCUAAUACCGGAUGCUCCGGGGAGGCCCCAUGGCCUCCCCGGGAAAGCCCCGACGGCGCGGGAUGGGGUCGCGGCCCAUUAGGUAGACGGCGGGGUAACGGCCCACCGUGCCCG
rnacentral:rRNA from 1 species